GAGGAACAAAGGGAAGGGUCCAAAUUACAAUCAGGCCAUUGCCAUUGUUGCCACAUUUUACAUGUGCCUGGUCUAGACCACUUUGCUAAUAUUCACUACCCUUUGCGAUACGUUUCAUGCUUCAUCCGAAAACAACCGAAUUCACAAUAAAAUAUAGCGCUGUAUUAGCAGUAGUCAUUUUUGUAUAGUUUUUUCACAGUUGGACCUAAAAAGUCCUGCCGCAUAAUUCACCAAAAUAAUUUUGCUUUUGAGUGUAAUUAGUCAGUUUUUCCAUGUAUGCAUAUUGUUUUUGUUCUACGUAUGUUGCUACAAGAGAGAAUUUAAAAGCAACUGCUUGAUAUUCAAUAACAUAACCUUGUGAAGCCCCAACAGUCUAUCAGCUAAAUAUCUGAAACCAACUUACUGACAAUGACAACAACUUUUUUAUCUCCUAAGUGUCCAAUUAAAUGUCUCCAUUUAAGAAAUACUAUGUUUCAAUUUUUACCUACUGCAGGACCUUGGUUUUUGCAUUUUAAUUUUAUACACCACAGAUGCUAAUCUUCUAAUCAUAUCAUCAGCAUACAAAUUCUCUAACCAUUCUCUAACCACAGCAUUGGCUGGCUAAUUUUUCAACCAUUGGUUUAGCAUGCUAGUUUACCCAGAUGUUGGCAUGCUAACUAUCUAAACAGUUAUAGCAUGGCAAUUUUUCAACAAUGCGAUUAGUGUCCUAAUCUCUCAACCGUAGCAUCCGAUGCUUUUUGUAAACAACAUUUAGCAUUUAGCCUGCAUUUUGAGACAUUUUUGCUGAACAUUUGUGACUUCAAGUAUCUGCCGUCCUAAUCGGAGACGCAACUGCUGAUAAAAAAAAAAGUGUCUGGAGAUUUUCAAGAAAGACUGCUGCAUCUUGAGUCGAUCAGUCAGUCAGUCAACACAUAGAAUGUGAAUUUAAAGCGUAGUUAAUUGUAUUCAACUAGAAAACACACAUUUAAUCCCCAGUUUGUCUCAGGUGUGGCACGAGCUCCUGUUGCCGCAUUUUUGAUGAACACCUCAGAGACGAGUGAGAACCAGCGAAUGAAAAGAGCAGCAUUACGUAAUUGCAUCAUUCAGAGAUGCUGACAAUGCAACCAGACAUGUUUGUCAUUGCUAGGAGGGGGAGAGGGGAUGGAUUUGUUUGUGGACUAAUCCAGAAAGGCUUCAGACAAACAGCCGUGCAAAGUGUGGAGGAAGGCAUUUCAAAGCAGCCAUAACCGCAGAGAAUGCUCCGCUAAGCUCACACCUCCGCCAUGAAGGUUACACUCUGAGGAUAACUAGAUGCACAGCAGAGCUGCAUGUAAUUUCAUUUUACAUGACACCCCGCGUUAUAUAAAGUUCAGGCAGACAAAAGGAGGCGUCCCUGCGGAGGACCUUGACUCGGCUCUUCGGGCUGCAGUUUGAGGCGUUACGAAAGCAGCAUGUGUCACCAGAUGUAGUGAUGAAGAGUUGCCUUUUCGUCCCAAACCGACGGCGCCGAACUUGUUACAGCCGACAACCACCUUUCCACGCGGCACGAACGACGUGAGGAGGAUCUAUGUCGGGAUGGAAAACCUGGGUCCUGAGGGAUUCUCAGACAUCUUCAGAGCACAUGUUCGCUGAAAGUGCAGAGGGAUAUUUGACUUGACAGAGCAUGCUGAGGCAAUUCUCCAACAACAAAGUUCUAUUGUGCUCAACUCUGAGCUCCAUUGUUUAAUUCCCUUCUAACUGACGCUCGUCUGUAGAAACUAAAAGUCCCUUUAGAUAAAAAACAGGCUAAAAGAUCUAGAAAAACUCUAGCAUUGCCAACCAGCUCAGCACUGCAGGGCCGCAAUUAGCGGUCCGAGCUAACAGCGGUUAGUGAGUGACCUCCCCUGGGUCGAUGUGAAGCCCGUCUGCUGUCCCUAUUGUAGGAUGAUGCCAAUUUUUGAUAGAUCAAAUUCCUACAUUUCAAUCAAAUUAAAGAGGAGAUUCAUUUCAGAGCCUUUCUGUGAAAGAAACUUUCAAACUUUGGGGAAAGAUUUUAGAAAUUCAGGAAAACUUGAGUUGCCUCUCCUAACAACCUUGAAGGCGAAAGAUAAAUAUCCACGAGGCACCCUAGAAAGAAGCCCGUUUUAUUUCUGGAGAUUAAUUGCAUGCACAUGAACGUGUCGAAAAUGUGAUUCAUUUCUGGCACAGAGAGUUAUAUCUGAAGCUGUGUUUGAUAAAUUUAGUCAAUAAUUGAUUUUGUUUGCCAGAUUGAUUUUGCGUUCAGGGGAGGCAGGUGAGUAAUCCUGCUAAGUAAAAAUAAAGCUAUGAGAAGUAAAAUAGAUGCUAAGAACAAUGAAAGAAAAUCACUUUGUCCACUUGGAUUUUCUAUAACUUGUUUUUCUUAAUGUCAACAUUUUAUGGUCAAAAUCUUGGAAUUUGCGCAUUGCCUGUUGAAAUACAUGCAAGAAGAGCCGAGGUGAGGCAGUGCAGUACCACGCCUCACUGAUAGGAGGCAGUGCUGAUCCCCUUAGAGACAAUGAGCAACAGGUGCUCUUCUUCUACGCAUUGAAAAGAUUGUCCAGGGAAAAUUCGGUCGGAGCAGAACCGCUCAAAUACACAACAACUAAUAGAAAACUUUUCUGUUUUGUUUUUAUGAAUUAAGUGAAAAAACUGUCAAUUCUGUUCCUAAAUGCAAAAUGAUGCCUACAUUUAUUUUUGUGUACAUGUAAAUAUGAGAUUAAAUAAUUAUGCAACAAUGUCAGUAGUUUUUAAAAACUUACUUGUGACAUUAAUUUUCUAUUUUGUUGCCUAAAAUCUAGCAAUAAGGUUAUUUCGACCCAAUCUAACAUUGUUAACCUAAACGAUCACUUAUUUCUAAGCAAAGCUGCUAAAUUAAAAGAUUAUUUUUUUGUUAAAUGUAAAUAUUUGUUAUUUUUAUGAGCCCCAAGCAAAUUGUACAUGAAUAUAGACAAUGUAAUUUUGGCCGAACCUAACCGUGUUUCAAUUUUUGCCACGUCAAAAUAUGCUAUUAAUCAUAAACAUGAUCACUAUUUUCCUAAACUUGGAGUUUUCCUUAUGCUAUUUAUGAUUUCUUCCAUAAAUCUUGAUGAAAUAUGUUGUCAAUAUCUGGCCAUGUCAACAUUGUGAUUAUUUCUAGACGCCUUUAUGGACGGAAGCUGCAGAUUUCUGUCCCAGUUGAUGCUGAUUUAGCCUGACCGUUUAAAGUGGAACAGAAGUCUGUCGUUUUCCAGCCUGUAGACGUUUGCUCAUUUUUACUCAUCCUGGGCGACCUUAAACCCAAACAGACCCAUGUUGCAUUGUGGGAAAGUGAAACUUGCCGCCCGAACACGACUCCAGCUCCACGUCUAUCUGUGGAAAUGAGAGAAGGAUGCUGCGUGUAAUCAGCUGUUUACAGCCGCCGCAGCAGCUCCGGCCUAAUGGCUCCAACAUGGCCGACACGGGCUCAGUUACGUCACCUAAAUGAAUGCCCUCUGUUCCAGAUCACCCAGCUGCAUGUUUCCAGUUUACCCAGUCUGGGUGUGAGAGGAUGAAGAAGAGGAGGAGGAAGAGGAGGUGGAGGUAGCGGGGGCAUCCAGAGGAAGACGCAUGUAAACCCAUUUCCAAACAAACGGGCCAGUGUUCAAUGGCUGAAUGAAUCAACACGAGCGACCGCACAACAGGACAUGGUGGCCAUUUAACACUGGUGAGCCCAUGGUGAUUAUACUGUACACAUGCAGACAGAGUCAGAAAUGAAACCAAACAUGUGUGAGUUGAGGCUCACACAUGUUUACACUCCAGAAAGUUGUCUAUUUUUAUCUAAAGGCCUUUAUUCAGUCAGGUUCUUACUGAACUGACCUGCAGCCAUAUUGUGGGAGUAGAUUUAGUGAUGUGAAGGGGAGGGUUAGCCAAAAUUAGAUGCAAAAUAAUACAAAUGUGUAAUAAAUAAUGAUGAAUGUAAGAAUGUGGAUCGGAUCUGUUGACUGACUUAUAAACAACAAAUAUGCCUGAAUAUCCAUUAAAACACAGUGGACAUCAUCUCAGCGUUGCCAUAGAAGCUUACAUCUACCAUCUUCCUUAUCUCCACUUUUUAGGUGUUCAGCCAAUCUGCACCAAGGAAAAUAAACGGCACUCUGUGAUUGGCUACCAGCCAAUAGAAAGUCAGCUAUCAUCGAGUCCAGAGUCUCUUGGAAGUGCAGCCGAGGUCCUCCGCUCAUCUCUUUUUUUCCAAUCUUUCUGGGAUUUGGAGUGAUUUGCGCCGCGCUUCCCCGAGGGAAAUAAAUACUUUGAUUAAUGUAAUCCUGGGGAGGCUGAUGUCCCUCCCCUCCCCCACCUGUACCUGAGGGACUGCUCAGCAAAACAAAAACAAGAAGAAGAAGAAGAAACGAGCAGAGAGCGACAACUGGACGAGUGCAGAUUGGAUUUGUUUGGUUUCUUAAUUAGUGUGCCUUUAAUGCGCAGCAUCAGUCUUGAUUAGCAUGUAGCGCUAUCCAACAGGACACUGUAAAAGUGUGGCUCACGCUCAUGUGACUCCUGGAAGUGGCAGCAUUAUGCUGGGUGGGACUGCUGGGGUUACAGGUGCAAAGUUCUUCCCAGUGCUCGGAUAAUU